rnacentral:rRNA from 1 species
CCUACGGGGAGCAGCAGUGGGGAAUAUUGGACAAUGGGCGAAAGCCUGAUCCAGCCAUGCCGCGUGUGUGAAGAAGGCCUUCGGGUUGUAAAGCACUUCCAGUGGGGAAGAAAGCCUUGGGGCUAAUACCCUCGAGGAAGGACAUCACCCACAGAAGAAGCACCGGCUAACUCCGUGCCAGCAGCCGCGGUAAUACGGAGGGUGCGAGCGUUAAUCGGAAUUACUGGGCGUAAAGCGCGCGUAGGCGGUCUGAUAAGCCGGUUGUGAAAGCCCCGGGCUCAACCUGGGAACGGCAUCCGGAACUGUCAGGCUAGAGUGCAGGAGAGGAAGGUAGAAUUCCCGGUGUAGCGGUGAAAUGCGUAGAGAUCGGGAGGAAUACCAGUGGCGAAGGCGGCCUUCUGGACUGACACUGACGCUGAGGUGCGAAAGCGUGGGUAGCAAACAGGAUUAGAUACCCGAGUAGUC